CAUGUAUCCCUUAACUCUCCAACUAGCUGGUAGAAUCCCAGAGUAUAUUCUUUUGGGUACAGCAAUGUGUUCCAUGUAAAAUGUCUAUUGUGGGUCACUAGAGGUCCCCAUAGUGGACAGAAGGGAAAAACAAGAGGAGAAUCAGAAAUAAAAAGGGGAGGAGAAGACAAAAGGAGAGAAUUAAGUAAAACAUUUCAUUGUGUUAGUGAUCACUAUCUUAAAUACACACCAGUUGGUUUUCCAUCUCUCCAGGACAGAAAUUCUGUUGUCAACUCCCUAGUUUCCGGGGUAAAGGCAAGCAGCAUAGCCCAUCACUGCCAUCAGCAGCUGGCACCUCAGCAGCCUUCACAGACACAGCUGAGCACCAUCAACCUCCCGUCUCAGCUCCACUUGCACUGCUCUGAGCUCCAGACCACAAACCCAGCCUAAAGACACCUUCUCUGGAUGCUCCACAGGCAUGCCCAGUUCAACGUGAUAGUCUCCCAUCUAAAGACACUGGUCCACACUCAACACACCCAGCCAACCGGAGAAAAUGACCUCAUUCUGUACCGGCACCCGCUGCCAGCAGGGGUGAGAGAAAUCCCAUCCGAUACAUAAGAGAGAUGUGGAGAAAACCACAUCAGCGGAAGAGAAGCCACAGUGAAAGAAUACCCAGGUAGGGGGCUUCCAGAGGAAGUGCCUUGAAUCCCGGGAUUGCCUGAGUCACUCAUCUCCAGAUUGGUAAAUGAGCUGUUUGUCGGGGGUGGUGGGGGUGGUAGCGGGGAGGGGGGGUGUAUGAUGAAGAUUUAUUAUUAUGCUUCUGUAAUUUGCUUAACAAUUUAAUAAUGGCAUGUUUCUUCUCGGGGUCUUUGAGAACAGGUGUUUCCUAAGGAACAAGUGAGUUGUCAAGGCGUCGGCAUCGCAGGUGCUCUGCAGCUGUGGCCUGCCUGGCUCUGGUGGGCACUCCAGCUGGGGAGCCGCUCCUCACAGCCAGGAUGGUGGGGCUUUCUCUUCAGAUCCCUCCUCACCAGACCUUGCAGAGUCAUGGCUGAGGUCCAGGAGGCAAGGUUGCCACAAGUAGUAUGGUAGGACAGGGCAAUAUAGGAACUGGGCAUGUAAGGGAGAUUAAGAGCAGGGAGGAGGCCUCUCAGCUCCCCACAUGCCUGGUGCUGUGUGGUGCCAAGAAAGGCAGAGCUACUGGAGCUACAGCCAUGAUUUGUGAGUUGGAAGAUGUAGGAGGUCUGAGGUAAGGUGAAGCAUGAUCCUGUUGAUAUGAGAAAAAUCACUAAAGAAAGUUGACAGUGCUAGCAGCAAACCGCCAAACUGAGAAUAGGACCCCCUUGUGGGGAAUUAGAGGAAGGAUUGAAAGAGUUGAAGGAGAUUGCAACCCCAUAAAAACAACAAUGCCAACCAACCAGAGCUUCCAGGGACUAAACCACUACCCAAAGACUAUACAUGGACUGACCCUGGACUCUGACCUCAUAGGUAGCAAUGAAUAGCCUAGUAAGAGCACCAGUGGAAGGGGAAGCCCUUGGUCCUGCCAAGACUGAACCCCCAGUGCAGGGGAAUAUGGGGGAGGGCAAUAAGGGAGAUGUAUAGGGGGAAUACCCGUAUGGGGGAGGGGAGGGGAGGGACUGGGGGCUUAUGGACAGGAAACCGGGAAGGGGAAUAACCUUUGAAGCAUAAGUAAAGAAAUAUAUAAUAAAAAUUAAAAAAAAAAAGAAAGUUGACAUUUUACCUGUAACUCAGAGUCCAAUGCCUCCUUCAGGGGGACAUUUCCACCAGACCUCUCAGACUCACAAUGGAACAACUGCAAGAUCUUGCAGCACUUCAGAAUGUAGCAGGAGCAUUAGCCACUUCAGCCUCCACUAGGGACAUCUGUCACCUCUGAGGUGACUCCUCAUGCUGAACCACAGCCCUAACAGACUAUCAGAACACCCUACUAACACUCUUGAUAGGGUCUGCUCAUCUACACCGUGUGUCCUGAGGCUCACCUGUCCCUACCCUUGGCAGCAAAUGUCCCAGACCUCCAGUUCAACUGUCUAGAGCACCCAGCUGCAACCAACUCUGUUUCCAGACUAACACAACAACGUAUUUCCUGUCGCAUUAUCCUCAUAAUUACCUCGACAGACUAUCACUAUGCCAUUUUAAACCCCCAUUCACUAGUCCUCCACUGUCUCCUCCAUUAAAACACUUCUAUUAAAAGGCUUACUUAUGAUACCAUCAAUUUAUUUCUUCUUGCUUCUCCUGAAUCCACACUAAAACAGCAUCCUACCAAGGUCAUCAGUACCUCCACAUUGCUACCAUGGGUUAAUGUUCUCAGUUCACCUCUGGGUGUGACCCAAGCAAAGCAGUCUUCCUCCUCCUGCUCAUAUUUCCACUUGGCUUCCAGGCUGUUCCUCUUUUAUCUUUAUAACUUUUCUUUUCUAAGACGUCUCAUAUCCCUGUCUUCUAAAUACUAAAUGCACUAGAAUCUCAUCCUUGAACAUGUUUUAUUUUCUACCUGCAUUCUUUCCUUCAGCGAUCUCAUCGCCCAAAUUUACAUGGCAGCACUCCCUGCAUGCUCAUCUUCUGCUCAACCUAGACUCAAAUAUCCCACUGCUUACUUAGAUGUCUAACACGCACUUCAAACUCAACAUGGUGGAUUUGCUAAAAUUUAUCAUACUUAACCCCCAUCCUUUCCUCAUUUCAGGUAAUGUCAUUUUGCUCAUUCAAUCCCAAACCAUGUUGUCCUCCUUAAUGUUGCUCUCUUAUACCUUACAUGUAACCAACCAGCAAACCCUUUAUUUAUUCAGAAUAUGAAUCUCGCCAUGACUGGCCAGGUCCAUCACUCCUAUCUAAUUAUUUUUGACAGAUUUUGAUGUUGGUUCCUUAACUGUGCCUGUCU